rnacentral:rRNA from 1 species
AAACAUGUCUUUAUGAGUGUUUAUGUAAAGUCUAGCCUGCCCAGUGAUAUAAAGUUUAACGGCCGCGGUAUAUUGACCGUGCGAAGGUAGCAUAAUAAUUAGUCUUUUAAUUGAAGACUGGAAUGAAAGGUUGAACAAGAAGUUAGCUGUCUCUAAAUUAAAUUUUGAAUUUAACAUUUAAGUGAAAAGGCUUAAAUAUUUUAAAGGGACGAUAAGACCCUAUAAAUCUUUAUACUUGAUUUUAUAGAGCAAAAUAUUAAAAUAAUUUUUGUUCAAUAGGUUUGGGUAUUUUGUUGGGGCGACAGGAGUAUAAAAUGUAACUGCUCUAAAAUGAUAGUUAGUUGAUAUUUAGUUAAGUGAUCCUUUAAUAAAGAUGUUAGUUUAAGUUACUUUAGGGAUAACAGCGUAAUUUUUUUUGAGAGUCCAUAUCGAAAAAAAAGUUUGCGACCUCGAUGUUGAAUUAAAGAUCCUUUGCGGUGCAGAAGUUGUAGAAGGAGGUCUGUUCGAC